rnacentral:rRNA from 1 species
CCUACGGGGGGCAGCAGUGGGGAAUAUUGCGCAAUGGGCGAAAGCCUGCCGCAGCGACGCCGCGUGAGGGAUGAAUGUCUUCGGAUCGUACACCUCUGUCAGCAGGGAAGAACGGUCACUGUGCUAAUCAGCCGUGAAUUGACGGUACCUGCAAAGGAAGCACCGGCUAACUCCGUGCCAGCAGCCGCGGUAAUACGGAGGGUGCGAGCGGUAAUCGGAAUUACUGGGCGUAAAGCGCUCGUAGGCGGUAUGUCAAGUCAAGGGUGAAAUCCCCGCGCUCAACGUGGGAACUGCCUUUGAAACUGGCAAACUGGAGUGUGGGAGAGGAUAGUGGAAUUCCAGGUGGAGGAGUGAAAUCCGUAGAUAUCUGGAGGAACAUCAGGGGCGAAGGCGACUAUCUGGCACAUAACUGACGCUGAGGAGCGAAAGCGUGGGUAGCAAACAGGAUUAGAUACCCCAGUAGUC